rnacentral:pre_miRNA from 1 species
ACCACUGAGCCACCUUCCCAGCCCUGAGAAUUUAUUUUUAGGACUAGAAUGCUGAGGGGCUGGGAAGGUGGCUCAGUGGU